rnacentral:rRNA from 1 species
UACGGGGGGGGGCAAGCGUUGUUCGGAAUUACUGGGCGUAAAGGGCUCGUAGGUGGCCAACUAAGUCAGACGUGAAAUCCCUCGGCUUAACCGGGGAACUGCGUCUGAUACUGGAUGGCUUGAGUUCGGGAGAGGGAUGCGGAAUUCCAGGUGUAGCGGUGAAAUGCGUAGAUAUCUGGAGGAACACCGGUGGCGAAGGCGGCAUCCUGGACCGACACUGACGCUGAGGAGCGAAAGCCAGGGGGAGCAAACGGG